AUUUCCAUAUGCAUGAGACUUACGGUGUUAAAACAAUAUCGAUCUUGUGAACUUUUCCCAAGUCUCUACAAACCAACCUCAAAUUAUUCUAUAGCCUAAAACUUUCAACACAAAUGCAAUUUUUUUAGAAAGAAAACAAAAACAAAACAAAACAAAGAACAAAAACAAAGAAAAUAAAGUAUUCCCUCCCCCACACUUAAAAUAUGCAUUGUCCUCAAUGAAAGAAACAAACAUAAAAUAAGAGAGAGAAGAGAGAGGAAAG
rnacentral:lncRNA from 1 species